rnacentral:rRNA from 1 species
GAUGAACGCUGGCGGCGUGCUUAACACAUGCAAGUCGAACGGGACUUAUAGGAUUGAGGAUUCGUCCGAAUGAAUAUAAGUUUAGUGGCGGACGGGUGAGUAACGCGUGAGUAACCUGCCUUGGAGUGGGGAAUAACACAGGGAAACCUGUGCUAAUACCGCAUAAAGCAGUUGGGUCGCAUGGCUCUGACUGCCAAAGAUUUAUCGCUCUGAGAUGGACUCGCGUCUGAUUAGCUGGUUGGCGGGGUAACGGCCCACCAAGGCGACGAUCAGUAGCCGGACUGAGAGGUUGGCCGGCCACAUUGGGACUGAGACACGGCCCAG